rnacentral:rRNA from 1 species
UGGCGGACGGGUGAGUAACGCGUGGGUAACCUGCCUCAUACAGGGGGAUAACAGUUAGAAAUGACUGCUAAUACCGCAUAAGACCACGGAGCCGCAUGGCUCAGUGGGAAAAACUCCGGUGGUAUGAGAUGGACCCGCGUCUGAUUAGGUAGUUGGUGGGGUAACGGCCUACCAAGCCGACGAUCAGUAGCCGACCUGAGAGGGUGACCGGCCACAUUGGGACUGAGACACGGCCCAA